rnacentral:misc_RNA from 1 species
AAGGGAUAAUUGGGGGCUCCGUCCCCCUACCUCCCACCCAUGAAUACUUUAGGGGCCCAGCGCCCGAACCUUUACUUCGGCGGAUAUUUCCGCCGAACAACCCAAAACUCUAUUUCAACGUUGUCGUCUGAUUGUGGGAAUUGAAUAAAUCA